rnacentral:rRNA from 1 species
UACGUAGGGGGCUAGCGUUGUCCGGAAUCAUUGGGCGUAAAGCGCGCGUAGGCGGCCCGGUAAGUCCGCUGUAAAAGUCAAAGGCUCAACCUUUGAAUGUCAGUGGAUACUGCCGGGCUAGAGUCCGGAAGAGGCGAGUGGAACUCCUGGUGUAGCGGUGGAAUGCGCAGAUAUCAGGAAGAACACCAAUGGCGAAGGCAGCUCGCUGGGACGGUACUGACGCUGAGACGCGAAAGCGUGGGGAGCAAACAGG